CGACCGCUAGCUCGUUUGGUGAGUGGAGUAGUAGAAGUAAGAAGCGGCGGCGGCGGCUGCUCGUUUGGUGAGACGAGGCGAGGCGAGGUAGCAGCGCAAGGCGAGCGAGGAAGAAGAGGUCCAGUCCAGUCCAGUCCUUCUUUUAUUCUCCUAGCAGGCCAUUCGGACGGCCCACCCUCUAUCGGCGUCGUACCUAAAAUUCGAGGUCCUAUAGCUUCGGUAGUGUUUGUUGAAACGUCUCCUAGUCUAUCAACCGUCGCCACCUAUGCCUCAACAAAUGUCCCGCUGGGUACUUCCCCUUCUUUAACGCCACUUCUUCGAAGCAGUUGACGUCCCUGAGCUACUAUUCGUUAAGCUGUUGCUCAAGGCAUUGGAAGCAUUGUAUGCGGUGUUUUUACAACACGCCGAUUAACCGAUGACGGUGGUCAGAACGUUCUUUAUGUACCUCGUGUUCCCCCUCGAAUAGAAGCGAUUUCUCUACCUCGCUCACGAGACGAAGCUUAUAUACGUGCCGCCUUCGGAGCUAUUUGUGUAAGUUCUACUUAGAACGCCCGAACUCACCGGGUGUACAAAGUUCUAAUAGUUUCCCUGAACACUCCCUGAUCUAGUAGAAGUGUGGAGUGUCCCUUUUGGAUAAAAGGUAGACCUGAACUUCGGACCAUUAUAAAACGACCUACUUUCAUACUGCGGGUUUUAACCUCUAGAACCAAACAGUUCUGAGCAACGAAGUUGUUUUUGUGCUGUUUGUCUCUACGCGCUGCCUUGUGAGCCCAAGUACGGUGGUCUCAUACAACUGUCACCGAAGUAUAGUUUCUUCAAACUGCACAAGUCAAACCCCCAGUAUUAAUAUUUUUACAACCGGCCCCUAUUCUCGAUGAAGGCAACGAGACUUUACGGGAGACUUGUCAAAUAACUCGAACAUUCCCUUUAGACCUCCUUUUUCAAAGUCCGUUUCGGACCUAUAAGGAGUGUCAGUGUCCUUUAUCUGUAAGAUCCUCGCUGAAGUACACAACUCUAACGUGAUUCCACACACCUGUCCCUGUCUUUGAUUUCCGGUACAUAGUUACUAUAACAGGUACUUGACCUAGUUGAUCUUCGAUUCGAAUUACGUUACAGUGAUCGAAGACUACAGAGUUUACUACGGUACCGGGUCUCUUCGACGCUGUGGUUGUAAUAGAGCCACCUAGGUAGGGACCUCGACGCCAAGCAGAAGCUCGGUUCCUUCCUCUGCAGCACGACGGAUGUCUAUUAGUUGUUCUGCCUCCCGUAGCAGCGCAAGUUGUAUUUUUAAUUGGUCUUGUUCAUAUCACACGCCGGUUCGGUUCCCUGGUACGGCGGCACGAGGACAACAAUACAAUAGCACUGGAACGUCCGCGUCCUCCGCCGCGGCGGGUUGUACGCCACGGUCCUGUACGAGAAGCACGUCUUGUGGUCGUAGUGGGUUCUGGACCUUAGGUCUUUACCACUCUAACUAAUAGUUCUUAACAAACUUUUCCGGUACCGCCUAUUCCACCAACUACACCACUCCGAAGGCUAGCAAAUACAAUGUGGCCUGGUUAUCAGAGUAGGUGGUUCUUGAGAAACUCCAACAAUAAUUCUAGGUUUUUUUUAAGAACUCAACAACAAACGCUCUCCCACAAGAGAAACACAAGAUAAAUUAACAAAGAACCAGCUAAUACGUCAGAAAUUAAUCGACGAUGUUUGUAACAGGAGAGAUUGACGACUAAUGAAAGAUUAUACCCUUCAUACCUUCUGAAUUACGCUUGUUCGUCGAUUACAUUUCCCGGAAGUUAGUCCUUCCGAACUCAUACACAAUGUACUCUAUCAGUUAACUUACGGAUAUCUUGUCCAGGUAAUAUAACUUCUAAUGUCAAUAGCACUGAGUGAUUUUUAUUUUUCCUCGUUGUAAGUCAAUAUAAUGG
rnacentral:rRNA from 1 species